UACGGAGGGUGCAAACGUUGCUCGGAAUCAUUGGGCGUAAAGCGCACGUAGGCGGCUCGUUAAGUCGGAUGUGAAAUCCCUGGGCUCAACCCAGGAAGUGCAUUCGAAACUGGCGAGCUUGAAUAUGGAAGAGGGUCGCGGAAUUCCCGGUGUAGAGGUGAAAUUCGUAGAUAUCGGGAGGAACACCAGUGGCGAAGGCGGCGACCUGGGCCAAUAUUGACGCUGAGGUGCGAAAGCGUGGGGAGCAAACAGG
rnacentral:rRNA from 1 species